AUGGGAACUCCGCGGGCACUCGGCGGGCGCUCAGGUGGGCACUUGGCGGGUGCUCAGGUGGGCACUUGGCGGGCGCUCAGGUGGGCACUCGGCGGGCACUGGGCAGGUGCUCAGGCGGGCGCUUGGUGGGCACUGGGCAGGCGCUCAAGCGGGCACUCGGUGGGGGCUCAGGUGGGCGUUCAGGCGGGCACUCGGUGGGGGCUCAGGUGGGCACUCGGCGGGCACUGGGCGGGCGCUCAGGUGGGCACUCCGCAGGCACUCAGGUGGGCACUCCAUGGGCACUCGGCGGGCGCUCCACGGGCACUCAGGUGGGCACUGGGCAGGUGCUCUGUGGGUACUCGGCAGGCGCUCAGGCAGGCACUUGGCGGGCGCUCAGGCAGGCACUCCGGUGGGCACUCCAUGGGCACUUGGCGGGGGCUCAGGUGGGCACUCGGCAGGCGUUCAGGUGGGCACUCGGCGGGCGCUCAGGCAGGCACUCCGGUGGGCACUUAAAAGGGCGCUCCGCAGACACUCAGGUGGGCGCUCCGCGGGCACUCAGGCGGGCACUUGGCGGGCACUCAGGCGGGCACUCGGCUGGCGCUCAGGUGGGUACUCAGGCGGGCACUGGGUAGGUACUCAGGUGGGCACUCAGUGGGCGCUCAGGUGGGUACUCGGUGGCGCUCAGGUGGGU
rnacentral:lncRNA from 1 species